GCCGGGCCUCAUUAAGGACACCAGGCUGGGAGAUGACCUCUUGCAGCCAUUCUGCAGCCACAGCCCGGCAGUGUGUGGCCUGUCAGAAAGUUGGUGUGCUUGAUCAAACCAGGGUCUUAAAAGUGGUAAAUGUUUGGGUUCAAAUGAAGAGAUCCAUAUUAUCAUCCACAAUAUGAGAAGCCCUCAAAAGAUGGUGAAUACUAAAAACACCGGAGUGGGAAUCUGGACACCUGGCUUUUAGUUCCUCUGCUGUGUGACCUUGAGAACUCCAGCCGACUCUCCCUGUUCUAAGUUCUUUCUCACUCCAGGUGUCUGUCUCAUUCCUCACAUAGAAGCAAUGCCUUACGUUUUUACGAUGCCUCGCAGUUCACAAAGCCGGUUGGAACACAUGAUGUCAUCAACCCUGCAACCACACUUAGAGGCUAGCUGGAGUUACUCUCCCAAUCAUGAUGGUGGAAGAAACAUCUUGAAAAGCCUUGAAGCCAAGAGGAAAGUCCCUUGGGAAACUUGAUCGUUGAAUGUCUCUGACCACAGCCUCCGUCAGAUGUGAUUGGUUUUCAUUUAUCUGAAGAUUUGGGCUUGCCAUGGCAGCCUUCUCUCCUCCUCUUGACAUUUGUAAAGAGUGGUGAAUAUUGACUCCACUUGGAAAGUAUGCCUAGAAGAUGGCAUUCAUUCCAAGGGGAUGAUGAGAGAGGUAUGUUGGCACUGGGAAAUGGCAGGCUGGGAGUAGAGAGGAGAAACAGAAGAAAGCACCCACAUCGCUGGAGAGGUAUGAGCAUGGAGAGUCCCAACCUGUCAGGGAGAGGCUCCCAAAGCAGGUGUAGUCUGAGUCAACCUGGUUUUCCUCCUCAGGCUGCCUUCCUCUCUCUUCCACCAGGGACAUAGCUAGAUCCUCUUCCACAGAACUCCCCAAGAGGGUCCCGUUUUAGUAAUCCAGGCAAACGGAGCCAUUUCCCCAAGCGGGAACCACACACAGGAACUGGUAUUAUUUCUGUUCUCCAGAGUUCUUGACCUUUUCUUUGCUUUUGACUACAUCCACCCCCUCUCCUUUGAAAUCCCUGCCCACAAGCAGCUCUCAGCUCUUCCCCAUCAGGGACAGUUUGACCAUUCAGCAAUUCUGCUGCCCAGGAAAACUCCAUGUUCUGAAAGAGGUUUUCUACUAGUAAUUCAUUUUCCUAGUUUACAUGAAUCAAAAACCUAGGAAGGGAGGAAUAAAGCUUCUAAACUGCAUGAGAUAAUCAGAGAGACGACAGCAGGUUCAUUUACUUAAUAACCACGAGAACUUGGACAUCUCAUUUUGCAUAAGCUUCUGUUGUUUAGGUGAACACAAUGAUAACAUAAUAAUAUACACCUCAAAGAGUUGUUGAGUGGAUUUUAAAAGACAAGGAAUAUAAAAUGCUUAGCAUUAAAGCUGAACUUGCUGUGAUCUCUCUGAUUAUCUUGUGCCUGAUGGAUCAGAGGACCAACAUUCGAGGAAAGCGUAUUCUAAGUAGAUUUUUGACACUGAGCUUGGCUUUGGGGAUACAGUAAUAAGCAUUCCUGUCCACAGUCUCUGUUCUCUUGGAGUUUCGAGUUGAGCAGGGAGGAAAAUCAAACUAGAAUAAAACCAGUGUGUACGAGAGUCUGUCUGGUCAAGUCCAUGUGGUUCAGUUAUCCCAUCUGGUGGAGAAUUCUGCUUCUACCAUCUUAACUCUUGUCUAAAUAGAAGCCUUUCCAAAGUGUCUUUUUCUGACAGUGACUUACCUCCUAAGAGUUUCAUGUUUUCAACUUUCUAGUGAAAAUUGCCUUGGCUAUACCGCCACCAUUGUGUCUCAUUGAAAGUUUAUUCAUUGAACUCAUUGUGUCUAAAAGCAAGUUUAUGCUUUUCUUCUCUCUGUCCUGACAUUCCUUCUGAAAGGCACUAAUGUUCCCUAGUCAGCUGGGCUGACUAUCUGGGUCAUCUUCAGUCUCUUCUUUCCCUUGUCCCAUCUGUACUCUUCAUCACAAAUCUGUAGGAUUCCAAGCCAUAUCUAAACCUUCCUGUAGAUUAUAAUCAUCUCCCCGCCUCUAAUGCAUCAUGUAUACCCACCUCAAGUAGAUUAAUUUUCCCCAAACGUGGCUUUGUAAUAUGACUUGACAGACACCAUUUAUUAAUCACCUAUUAUAUGCCAGGUUCCAUGCUAAGCAUUUUAUAUUCAGUGUCUGUUAAAACCCACUCAACAAAUCUUUCAAGUGUUUAUUAUUAUGUUUACUUAAAUAACAGAAGCUUAUGGGGAAUGAGAUGUCCAAGAUCUCGUAGUUAUUAAAUGGCAAACAGAUUUGAGUGUAGAUUUUCUCUAAUUCAAAAGACUGUGUUUUCAACUACCAUGCUAAAUGGCCUGUUGAUUUUUUUUAAACAUCUGUUAUCAAUGAAAAACUAUUCAGUGGCUCCCCAUUGCAUAAAAGAUAAUGUCCAAAUACCAGGUCAGUUUCUCUCGCACUAUUUUUCAGCAUGAACUUGCUGCUCUGGCCAGGCCAGGAUCCUGAUUUCCCUUCCAAUCUGGGGUUCAUUCCAGCCUUUCCACUUUGGGUCAUGCUGAGAGCUAUCUAAGAAGUUGGGAAAACUGAUAAAGGAGCCCGACUUAAGCACUUUUUACAGAGCAAGAGUAACUACUCAACUCUACUUAAAUUAGAACAAGUUUAAGGAAAAUGACAAAUAUUAUGAAAUGAAUUGGCAUUCAAUGCCCUUGACUGGUGGCAAUAUGAGGUCAGCAUGUCUUUUGAUGUUCAUGAGCUAAUGAAACACUUGAUGAUUGAAGGGACUUGCAAAGUGUUCCUUGAGUGAAUGAAUGAAUUUCUGAGGGGUGAAUGCGAAAGCAAAAAAGGCAAGAUAAGAAGGAUGGAGAUCUUUGUACGAGCAGAGAGGGGCUGAUGUAGGCAGACUUUAUUUACAUGUUGAGGGCCUUAAAGUUUAAGCAAAAGCUGAAAAAAUAUGGAAUUUAUAUGUGCUAUUUUAAAUAUAAGGGUUUAACAGCUCAGAACUCGUAACACCAAGAAUAUAUCACAUUUGUGCUAUUCAUAGGGCGAAACAGACUUUAUAAACAGUGUUAUGCUGUAUCUCCCAAUAUGAGGCAAGAUCUUCAUGCCCCUCUCUCCCUGAUUACCCCUGAGAAAAGAGAGUUUGUUCAUACUCAAGUCCUUGUGGAGCGUCUCAGAUUACAGGAUGAUUUCACAACGUAUUUUGUUCCAUCAUCAACAUAGUGUUGGAGGAAGACAAUUAGCCUGAGCUGAUCUCAAGUGUUGCAAGUUUGAGAUGUUUACAGAAGUAAGCUGAUGUAGUCAUUUAAAAUGAGGCAAAGGGAUCAAAUGCAGAUUCAAUAAUUUUUCUUGGGUUCUGCCUUCCCAAAUGUGAAGGAUGAGUAGAAGUGUAACAGAUGGCUUCAUGAAACAGCAGAAUUAAGUGGCUGUGCUUUGAAUAUCACAAGACGCACCAGAAGACAAAGGAAAACAAACUCUUCCAAUGUUCUGAAAAUGGGUACUUGUUGCUUGGGAUUAUGUUUGGGCUGUGAGUAUGUUUUGUGGAUUAACUAAUAGCCCUUAAGCAGAAGUAUAGGUGAUACACUCUGGGAAACUAAGCUGGACAACUCAAAUGGCUCUAGUGAUGCUGAAGACACUGAUGUUGAAGAUGUAAAUGAAGACUUGGAAUAAAGUCUUAUUACAAUAUACAUGAGCAUGGGAAAAAGCAGUAUUUCCACAUUAAUAAAAUUUUACCAGA